rnacentral:rRNA from 1 species
GAUGAACGCUGGCGGCGUGCUUAACACAUGCAAGUCGAACGAAGCACUACCGACGGAACUUUUCGGAGGGAAGAUGGUAAUGACUGAGUGGCGGACGGGUGAGUAACGCGUGGGCAACCUGCCCCAUAGAGGGGGACAACAGCUGGAAACGGCUGCUAAUACCGCAUAACAAGGAGAGGGCGCAUGUUCUUUUCUUCAAAGAUUUAUCGCUAUGGGAUGGACCCGCGUCUGAUUAGCUGGUUGGUGAGGUAACGGCUCACCAAGGCGACGAUCAGUAGCCGGCUUGAGAGAGUGGACGGCCACAUUGGGACUGAGACACGGCCCAG